UGCAGAUGAUGUAAAAGAAUAUUUGCUAUCUGAGAGAUGGUGAUGACAUUUUAAACCACCAAGAUCGCUGAUGCA
rnacentral:snoRNA from 10 species